GGUUGUGGCUCAGCGGUAGAGUGCUCGUCUCGCAUGCCCGGCACCCUGGGUUCGAUCCUCAACACCA
rnacentral:tRNA from 1 species